UGGGGAAUAUUGGGCAAUGGGCGAAAAGCCUGACCCAGCGACGCCGCGUGGGGGAAGAAGUCUUUCGGGAUGUAAACCCUUGUUGUACGGGACGAAGGAAGUGACGGUACCGUACGAGGAAGCCCCGGCAAACUACGUGCCAGCAGCCGCGGUAAUACGUAGGGGGCGAGCGUUGUCCGGAAUUACUGGGCGUAAAGCGCACGUAGGCGGGCUGUUAAGUCGGCCGUGAAAGGCACUGGCUCAACCGGUGUUUGUCGGUCGAUACUGGCGGUCUGGAGUAUGGGAGAGGGAACUGGAAUUCCCGGUGUAGCGGUGAAAUGCGUAGAUACCGGGAGGAACACCAGUGGCGAAGGCGGGUUCCUGGCCCAUUACUGACGCUGAGGUGCGAAAGCCGGGGGAG
rnacentral:rRNA from 1 species